rnacentral:rRNA from 1 species
GAUGAACGCUGGCGGCGUGCCUAAUACAUGCAAGUCGAACGAGGUCUUCGGACCUAGUGGCGAACGGGUGAGUAACACGUUGGUACCUACCCUCUAGUGGGGAAUAACUGGCCGAAAGGUCGGCUAAUACCGCAUAGUACCGCAAGGUUAAAGCAGUAAUGCGCUAGAGGAGGGGCCUGCGUCUGAUUAGCUAGUUGGUGGUGUAAUGGACCACCAAGGCGACGAUCAGUAGCNGGAUCGAGAGGUUGACCAGCCACACUGGGACUGAGAUACGGCCCAGACUCCUACGGGAGGCAGCAGUAAGGAAUCUUCCACAAUGGACGAAAGUCUGAUGGAGCAACGCCGCGUGCAGGAUGACGGUCUUCGGAUUGUAAACUGCUUUUAUACGGGAAGAUUAUGACGGUACCGUAUGAAUAAGCACCGCUAACUACGUGCCAGCCGCCGCCGUAAU